rnacentral:rRNA from 1 species
UUAAGCGACUAAGCGUACACGGUGGAUGCCCUGGCAGUCAGAGGCGAUGAAGGACGUGCUAAUCUGCGAAAAGCGUCGGUAAGGUGAUAUGAACCGUUAUAGCCGGCGAUGUCCGAAUGGGGAAACCCAGUGCAAUUCGUUGCACUAUCGUUAACUGAAUACAUAGGUUAACGAGGCGAACCGGGGGAACUGAAACAUCUAAGUACCCCGAGGAAAAGAAAUCAACCGAGAUUCCCCCAGUAGCGGCGAGCGAACGGGGAGCAGCCCAGAGUCUGAAUCAGCUUGUGUGUUAGUGGAACGGUCUGGAAAGUCCGACGGUACAGGGUGAUAGUCCCGUACACCAAAAUGCACAGGUUGUGAACUCGAAGAGUAGGGCGGGACACGUGGUAUCCUGUCUGAAUAUGGGGGGACCAUCCUCCAAGGCUAAAUACUCCUGACUGACCGAUAGUGAACCAGUACCGUGAGGGAAAGGCGAAAAGAACCCCGGCGAGGGGAGUGAAAAAGAACCUGAAACCGUGUACGUACAAGCAGUGGGAGCACCUUCAGGUGUGACUGCGUACCUUUUGUAUAAUGGGUCAGCGACUUAUAUUCUGUAGCAAGGUUAACCGUAUAGGGGAGCCGCAGGGAAACCGAGUCUUAACUGGGCGUUAAGUUGCAGGGUAUAGACCCGAAACCCGGUGAUCUAGCCAUGGGCAGGUUGAAGGUUGGGUAACACUAACUGGAGGACCGAACCGACUAAUGUUGAAAAAUUAGCGGAUGACUUGUGGCUGGGGGUGAAAGGCCAAUCAAACCGGGAGAUAGCUGGUUCUCCCCGAAAGCUAUUUAGGUAGCGCCUCGUGAACUCAUCUUCGGGGGUAGAGCACUGUUUCGGCUAGGGGGUCAUCCCGACUUACCAACCCGAUGCAAACUACGAAUACCGAAGAAUGUUAUCACGGGAGACACACGGCGGGUGCUAACGUCCGUCGUGAAGAGGGAAACAACCCAGACCGCCAGCUAAGGUCCCAAAGUCAUGGUUAAGUGGGAAACGAUGUGGGAAGGCACAGACAGCCAGGAUGUUGGCUUAGAAGCAGCCAUCAUUUAAAGAAAGCGUAAUAGCUCACUGGUCGAGUCGGCCUGCGCGGAAGAUGUAACGGGGCUAAACCAUGCACCGAAGCUGCGGCAGCGACACUAUGUGUUGUUGGGUAGGGGAGCGUUCUGUAAGCCUGCGAAGGUGUGCUGUGAGGCAUGCUGGAGGUAUCAGAAGUGCGAAUGCUGACAUAAGUAACGAUAAAGCGGGUGAAAAGCCCGCUCGCCGGAAGACCAAGGGUUCCUGUCCAACGUUAAUCGGGGCAGGGUGAGUCGACCCCUAAGGCGAGGCCGAAAGGCGUAGUCGAUGGGAAACAGGUUAAUAUUCCUGUACUUGGUGUUACUGCGAAGGGGGGACGGAGAAGGCUAUGUUAGCCGGGCGACGGUUGUCCCGGUUUAAGCAUGUAGGCUGGUUGUCCAGGCAAAUCCGGAUAAUCAAGGCUGAGGUGUGAUGACGAGGUACUACGGUGCUGAAGUAACAAAUGCCCUGCUUCCAGGAAAAGCCUCUAAGCAUCAGGUAACAUUAAAUCGUACCCCAAACCGACACAGGUGGUCAGGUAGAGAAUACCAAGGCGCUUGAGAGAACUCGGGUGAAGGAACUAGGCAAAAUGGUGCCGUAACUUCGGGAGAAGGCACGCUGGUGUGUAGGUGAAGUCCCUGCGGAUGGAGCUGAGACCAGUCGAAGAUACCAGCUGGCUGCAACUGUUUAUUAAAAACACAGCACUGUGCAAACACGAAAGUGGACGUAUACGGUGUGACGCCUGCCCGGUGCCGGAAGGUUAAUUGAUGGGGUUAUCCGUAAGGAGAAGCUCUUGAUCGAAGCCCCGGUAAACGGCGGCCGUAACUAUAACGGUCCUAAGGUAGCGAAAUUCCUUGUCGGGUAAGUUCCGACCUGCACGAAUGGCGUAAUGAUGGCCAGGCUGUCUCCACCCGAGACUCAGUGAAAUUGAACUCGCUGUGAAGAUGCAGUGUACCCGCGGCAAGACGGAAAGACCCCGUGAACCUUUACUAUAGCUUGACACUGAACAUUGAGCCUUGAUGUGUAGGAUAGGUGGGAGGCUUUGAAGCGUGGACGCCAGUCUGCGUGGAGCCAACCUUGAAAUACCACCCUUUAAUGUUUGAUGUUCUAACGUUGGCCCCUGACCGGGGUUGCGGACAGUGUCUGGUGGGUAGUUUGACUGGGGCGGUCUCCUCCCAAAGCGUAACGGAGGAGCACGAAGGUUAGCUAAUCCUGGUCGGACAUCAGGAGGUUAGUGCAAUGGCAUAAGCUAGCUUGACUGCGAGCGUGACGGCGCGAGCAGGUGCGAAAGCAGGUCAUAGUGAUCCGGUGGUUCUGAAUGGAAGGGCCAUCGCUCAACGGAUAAAAGGUACUCCGGGGAUAACAGGCUGAUACCGCCCAAGAGUUCAUAUCGACGGCGGUGUUUGGCACCUCGAUGUCGGCUCAUCACAUCCUGGGGCUGAAGUAGGUCCCAAGGGUAUGGCUGUUCGCCAUUUAAAGUGGUACGCGAGCUGGGUUUAGAACGUCGUGAGACAGUUCGGUCCCUAUCUGCCGUGGGCGCUGGAGAAUUGAGGGGGGCUGCUCCUAGUACGAGAGGACCGGAGUGGACGCAUCACUGGUGUUCGGGUUGUCAUGCCAAUGGCACUGCCCGGUAGCUAAAUGCGGAAGAGAUAAGUGCUGAAAGCAUCUAAGCACGAAACUUGCCCCGAGAUGAGUUCUCCCUGAGACUUUAAGUCUCCUGAAGGAACGUUGAAGACGACGACGUUGAUAGGCCGGGUGUGUAAGCGCAGCGAUGCGUUGAGCUAACCGGUACUAAUGAACCGUGAGGCUUAACCUU